CAGUAGCCGCGGUAAGACAGAGGAUGCAAGCGUUAUCCGGAGUGAUUGGGCGUAAAGCGUCUGUAGGUGGCUUUUCAAGUCCGCCGUCAAAUCCCAGGGCUCAACCCUGGACAGGCGGUGGAAACUACCAAGCUGGAGUGCGGUAGGGGCAGAGGGAAUUUCCGGCGGAGCGGUGAAAUGCGUUGAGAUCGGAAAGAGCACCAACGGUGAAAGCACUCUGCUGGGCCGACACUGACACUGAGAGACGAAAGCUAGGGGAGCAAAUGGAAUUAGAUACCCGGGUAGUCCCUGUCUCUUAUAC
rnacentral:rRNA from 1 species